GAGUAAGGAUCGGUCUACCGAAAAGUCUUUCGAUCGAAAGUUUAUUCAAUAGAAAGUUCUCUGCAUCGAAGAGUCACUCGACCGAAAAUGACGCCCACUUUCUCCUGAUUGGCCAGAUUGGUCGGAACGAUUCGGAACGACUCGGAACUGGCACUCUUUCAUCUUUGUCUUAUCAUUUCUGAAAUUUGACAGAGAAUUUGGACAUUUAAUUCUGCAGUACCAAAACGGUUGAUUGUUUACAUAACCUUUAAUCUGGAAAUUUUUCGACUUUCCUCAAAAAUGAAAUCAAUUUGAAUAAUCAUUUCGACGAAUCAAGUAGGACCAAUGAUAAUAUGAUGAAAUGCAUUGAAAGUGCUCUCUAGGAUACAUUCACUGAUCAAACGGAAUAUAUUUUCUAUAUAUAAUAAAAGUAGUGUUGAAUGAUCAAAAUACUGCAAUAUUCUGUAUUUGUUUAUAAGAGAGGAGUGUAGGGCAAGAGAACCUCACUUCUCAAAUGUACCAAGAUUUUCGAAUUAAAUGAGAAUGUGAUGACGAUUAGUUAUAAUGUCAUCUUAACAUAUAAAUUCUACUGAUUGAGGCGAAUAGGGCAGUUGGCAAUCAGAAAAUUUUAAGACCUAUCACAUUCAAUGCUGAUUUUUCUUAACUCGAAUAAAUAAUAUAGAUUACAAGAGACUAAGUACAAACAAUGAGUAUAAUUUACAAACGAGCCAUUCAAGAGAUUCUCCUCAAACUAUGGUUUCAGAAAGUGGAUAAUAAAAGGACAGAUGGAAUAACAGAUACCUGUGAAAUCAAUAAAAUUAUUGAGAAAAACAGUGAACUGCUGAUAUAAGCUUUGCCGAUAAGAAAUAUUUCAAAAUUGCCUAAUACAGCAAUGAGAAUCAUACCAUAUGUCAAGUCAUUGUAUUGGAAUAAUUAAAUAUAAACUGUAGGUUGAAUUUUCAA